CUGAAAACAGUUUCGGUUUCAUUUCUACGCAGAGCUGCAGCUCGUUUUUCUGGCUACAAGUCUGCGGUGUGUAAUGCUCCGUCUGUGGGUCCAGGUGAAAUACAGAAACUGCUGCUGAGCUGUGUGAGUGAACAGACACUGUGGUCCACUCAGCCAUGAGUCAGUGUGACACAGAGGAGGGGGGCACACCAUCUAAACAUGCCAAGAGCAUGGAAGACUGCCUGGACAAUGAAGCUACGGGGAUGCUGAAGCAGUUAGCAGGCUCUCCUCUGUCCAGCUCUAUGUCCAUGAAAAGUGACUGGUCUAUGGACCCGCCUUUAAAUUUCAAAGAAGGGAACCUCUCUGUUGA